GAUGAACGCUGGCGGCGUGCCUAAUACAUGCAAGUCGAACGGGUGUAGCAAUACACUAGUGGCGAACGGGUGAGUAACACGUUGGUGACCUGCCCUAAAGAGGGGAAUACCACUUCGAAAGGAGUGACAAAACCGCAUAAGCUAGUGCUAGUUAGAGAGGCAUUAGUAAAAGAGCAAUCUACUUUAGGAGGGGCCUGCGGCCCAUCAGCUAGUUGGUGAGGUAAAAGCCCACCAAGGCGAAGACGGGUAGGGGACCUGAGAGGGUGAUCCCCCACAAUGGAACUGAAACACGGUCCAUACACCUGCGGGUGGCAGCAGUAGGGAAUAUUGCUUAAUGGGCGAAAGCCUGAAGCAGCAACGCCGCGUGAACGAAGAAGGCCUUCGGGUCGUAAAGUUCUUUUACGUGGGAUGAGGAAGGACAGUACCACGAGAAUAAGUCUCGGCUAACUACGUGCCAGCAGCCGCGGUAAACUAUAGUCGU
rnacentral:rRNA from 1 species